rnacentral:rRNA from 1 species
AUUGAACGCUGGCGGCAGGCCUAACACAUGCAAGUCGAACGAGUGGCGGACGGGUGAGUAAUGUCUGGGAAACUGGCUGAUGGAGGGGGAUAACUACUGGAAACGGUAGCUAAUACCGCGUACCAUCGGCUGUGCCCAGAUGGGAUUAGCUAGUUGGUGGGGUAACGGCUCACCAAGGCGACGAUCCCUAGCUGGUCUGAGAGGAUGACCAGCCACACUGGGACUGAGACACGGCCCAGACGCCUACUGGAGGCAGCAGUGGGGAAUAUUGCGCAAUGGGGGCAAGCCUGAUGCAGCCAUGCCGCGUGAAUGAAGAAGGCCUUCGGGUUGUAAAGUACUUUCAGCAGCGAGGCGUUACCUGCAGAAGAAGCACCGGCUAACUCCGUGCCAGCAGCCGCGGUAAUAC